rnacentral:lncRNA from 1 species
CUACCUUCCAUGCUUACCAAGGUUCAAUCCCAGUCACUGUGGCUCCUGAUACAAAAACAAACAAGAGAUAAGACAUGGAGGGAGAAGAGGUGGAUAAAUUCAUGUACUUAAUCACAGGGAUUAAGAAAGACAUCUUGGGAAUGUAAUAGUUAGUCCCACACCUUCAACUAAAGGCCAAAGACUAUUAUUCCAUGGUAUUAGCAAGAAGAUUAUGAAAAUACAGAACAGAGGUUGCUUAAGACCAUAAUAUGAUGGACAAAGGUUUUUGACAACAAUGAAAACUGAAAGAUUUAUAGCUAAUGAGUCCUUUCAUCUUUUUAGAUCAAGUGCUUUAAAGGCUUUAGAUGAAGAUUACUCCCUCACAUCCACCUACCACUGACAUGCAGUCAGCCUCUGGGAUGCCAGUGAAGAGUGCCAGCAGUGCCAAAUAACUGGUUCCAGAAGGGGAAGUAAAAAAGAAUUAAUCCAGCUGAAACUACAGGGGAACAGCAGAAAGGACAACAUAAUGACCCAAAAUGGAACUUGGCCAAGACACCAGGCUUAACAAUCACGCAAGGAGCUGAGCAACUGUUAGAGUUUAGUUUUGUGUCUCAUCAGCCACAAUAAACUGAGCCAAAACAC